AGUGGCGGACGGGUGAGUAACACGUGAGGAACCUGCCCUUGAGAGUGGGAUAGCUUCUGGAAACGGAUGGUAAUACCGCAUAACAUAGCGAAACCGCAUGAUUUUGCUAUCAAAGUAUUUCGCUCAGAGAUGGCCUCGCGUCUGAUUAGAUAGUUGGUGAGGUAACGGCUCACCAAGUCGACGAUCAGUAGCCGGACUGAGAGGUUGAACGGCCACAUUGGGACUGAGACACGGCCCAGACUCCUACGGGAGGCAGCAGUGGGGGAUAUUGCACAAUGGGGGAAACCCUGAUGCAGCGAUGCCGCGUGGAGGAAGAAGGUUUUCGGAUUGUAAACUCCUGUCGUAAGGGAAGAGAAAGGACUGUACCUUACAAGAAAGCUCCGGCUAACUACGUGCCAGCAGCCGCGGUAAUACGUAGGGAGCGAGCGUUGUCCGGAAUGACUGGGUGUAAAGGGAGCGUAGGCGGGAUGGCAAGUCAGAUGUGAAACCUGAGGGCUCAACCUUCAGACUGCAUUUGAAACUGCUGUUCUUGAGUGAAGUAGAGGUAAGCGGAAUUCCUGGUGUAGCGGUGAAAUGCGUAGAGAUCAGGAGGAACAUCGGUGGCGAAGGCGGCUUACUGGGCUUUUACUGACGCUGAGGCUCGAAAGCGUGGGGAGCAAACAGGAUUAGAUACCCUGGUAGUCCACGCUGUAAACGAUGAUUACUAGGUGUGGGGGGAUUGACCCCUUCCGUGCCGCAGUUAACACAAUAAGUAAUCCACCUGGGGAGUA
rnacentral:rRNA from 1 species